rnacentral:misc_RNA from 1 species
GAUGAAGAACGUAGCGAAAUGCGAUAAGUAAUGUGAAUUGCAGAAUUCAGUGAAUCAUCGAGUCUUUGAACGCACAUUGCGCCCCCUGGUAUUCCGGGGGGCAUGCCUGUCCGAGCGUCAUUGCUGCCCUCAAGCACGGCUUGUGUGUUGGGCCCCCGUCCCCGGUUUCCCCCGGGGACGGGCCCGAAAGGCAGCGGCGGCACCGCGUCCGGUCCUCGAGCGUAUGGGGCUUUGUCACCCGCUCUGUAGGCCCGGCCGGCGCCAGCCGACACCCAACUUUAUUUCUAAGGUUGACCUAGGAUCAGGUAGGGAUACCCGCUGAACUUAAGCAUAUCAAUAAGCGGAGGA